GAUGAACGCUGGCGGCGUGCUUAACACAUGCAAGUCGAACGAAGCAAUCAUACGGAAGUUUUCGGAUGGAAGAAUGAUUGACUGAGUGGCGGACGGGUGAGUAACGCGUGGAUAACCUGCCUCAUACAGGGGGAUAACAACCAGAAAUGGUUGCUAAUACCGCAUAAGCGCACAGGACCGCAUGGUCUGGUGUGAAAAACUCCGGUGGUAUGAGAUGGAUCCGCGUCUGAUUAGCUAGUUGGUAAGGUAAGAGCUUACCAAGGCGACGAUCAGUAGCCGACCUGAGAGGGUGACCGGCCACAUUGGGACUGAGACACGGCCCAAACUCCUACGGGAGGCAGCAGUGGGGAAUAUUGCACAAUGGGGGAAACCCUGAGGCAGCGACGCCGCGUGGGUGAAGACGGCCUUCGGGUCGUAAAGCCCUGUUGACGGGGACGAUAAUGACGGUACCCGUUCAGAAAGCCACGGCUAACUACGUGCCAGCCGCCGCAGUAACAC
rnacentral:rRNA from 1 species